GGAAAUCUCACCAGGCCCGGACACUGGAAGGAUUGACAGAUUGAUAGCUCUUUCUUGAUUCGGUGGGUGGUUGUGCAUGGCCGUUCUUAGUUGGUGGAGUGAUUUGUGGCUUAAUUUGACUCAACGCGGGAAAUCUCACCAGGCCCGGACACUGGAAGGAUUGACAGAUUGAUAGCUCUUUCUUGUUAGCAAUAA
rnacentral:rRNA from 1 species